AUGGCUCCAGGUUCAGCUGCUCUCGCUCUCAAGGUGGCCGCCGUCGUUGCUGUUCUCACCAUGCUAGUCGUGCCUUCCUUGGGGCGCUGUCGUUCACCCGCACCGCCGCCACCAACUCCUACUCCCUCACCACCACCACCGCCGCCAGCUCUCACACCACCACCUCCGGCGGUGCUGCUGCCACCAAACCCUGCACCAGCGCCAGCGCCGGGGCCGGUGAUAUCCUGCCCCGAGUGUUCUUAUCACUGCUGCUACACCUUCGUUACCGAGAAAUGCAGCAGUACUUGCGACGCAGUUGGACCUUCCUGCAACUCCUGCAGGACCCAGGUGUUCGUGCUCUGCAGGGCCGACAAAAACUGCACCGGCAGCUGCGAUGAGUGCAACGACACCAUCAACAAUUCAUGCAUCAGCGCCUGCACUACCCGAUACUGUGACGCCUGCACGAGGGGGCGGAGCGGGGAGUGCCGAGAUAACUGCAGCGAGCAGUGCUCCCCGCCUAACUGCAUACCUUGGAGUCCUCAGAACUAG
rnacentral:rRNA from 1 species